CCCAAGACUAACAAUAUAUAUUGGAAAUGGCCACCCCAAGCCUGGGCUGAAUCUCUGUGCCCCUGGGAGCUUCAUCUGUGGGGAUGCCCACAAAGCAUCUGUCCUCAGCACAGAGCUUUCCUCUCAGAGCUGUGUGGCAGAUGUUAUGGUAUAACUGGGAGCCUUGCAAGAGGCACUGCCAGCCGCUGGCCUGCCCCUGAAUGGAGGAUUUGGUUUAUGCAACUGGAAAGAAAAUCUCCAUGGCAACAGAAGGAGGGAGAGACCUGAACUGUCACUGCAAGGAAGGGGUGGGAUGGACCCCUCCAUUCGUAACCAUGGCAUGGGCUGAAUGCACAUCUCAGUUCUGAUUUCAGCAGCCACUCCUAUCCACAGGAUAAAUCAAAGGAUACAAAACAAUUACCUAGCCUUACAAAGAAUUAAUCAGGAUCUGGAAGAUAAACUUUACAGAAUGGCACUUCAGAUCAAAGCAAAGAAUUUUUAAACUGCUGUUUCAGCAUCCACUUAAAACCCAGAGCAAAGAUUUCAGGAAGAAGCAAGACUGCUUCCACGGAGCACUGUACCUUUCUUUAUCCCAUUAGUAUGACAAUCAUCGAAGGCAGCUUCAGAGGCUUGAAGAAGAUCAACCAGGCUCUGUACACCACUUAAAUUCAGACUGUUUUGCCUUCUGAAACACUGAAACUGAAGACAUAAAAUAAAACCAAACAAAAAAUCA
rnacentral:lncRNA from 1 species